CUGGAUCCGGAUCCAAACUUCCCCAGUGUUGGGAUGGUGUGUGUAUGGGGAAGGGUGGAGUAAGGGAUCUCUCAUCUCUUCCCCCGCCCCCAGGGACUGGAUCCCUACACAGAUUUAGUUUGGGGUGAGGGAUAGCUCAGUGGUUUGAGCAUUGGUCUGCUAAACCCAG